AAUCAACGCUGGCGGCGUGCCUAACACAUGCAAGUCGAGCGGGAAAAGGGGCUUCGGCCCCUGAGUAUAGCGGCGGACGGGUGAGUAACACGUGGGUAAUUUGCCCUUGGGUGUGGAAUAACUCAGGGAAACUUGAGCUAAUACCGCAUGACAUCCUUGUCUCACAGGAGUUGAGGAUCAAAGCCGGGGACCCUUCGGGGCCUGGCGCCUGAGGAGAAGCCCGCGCCCGAUUAGCUAGUUGGUGAGGUAAUGGCUCACCAAGGCUUCGAUCGGUAGCCGGCCUGAGAGGGCGGACGGCCACACUGGGACUGAGACACGGCCCAGACUCCUACGGGAGGCAGCAGUGGGGAAUUUUUGUCAAUGGGGGAAACCCUGAACAAGCAACGCCGCGUGAAGGACGAAGACCUUCGGGUUGUAAACUUCUGUCGGAGGGGACGAAAGCGGUCGAGGCUAAUAUCCUCGGCCGUUGACGGUACCCUACGAGGAAGCCCCGGCUAACUCCGUGC
rnacentral:rRNA from 1 species